rfam:Echinostoma caproni strain Egypt genome assembly, scaffold: ECPE_scaffold0020679
GCGAAGCUGGUGUAAUGGUUAUCAUGGUUGCCUUCCAAGCAAUCGAUCCGGGUUCGAUUCCCGGGCUUCGCA